GACGAACGCUGGCGGCGUGCCUAAUACAUGCAAGUAGAACGCUGAAGGAGGAGCUUGCUUCUCUGGAUGAGUUGCGAACGGGUGAGUAACGCGUAGGUAACCUGCCUGGUAGCGGGGGAUAACUAUUGGAAACGAUAGCUAAUACCGCAUAAUAGUAGAUGUUGCAUGACAUUUGCUUAAAAGGUGCAAUUGCAUCACUACCAGAUGGACCUGCGUUGUAUUAGCUAGUUGGUGGGGUAACGGCUCACCAAGGCGACGAUACAUAGCCGACCUGAGAGGGUGAUCGGCCACACUGGGACCGAGACACGGCCCAGACUCCUACGGGAGGCAGCAGUAGGGAAUCUUCGGCAAUGGACGGAAGUCUGACCGAGCAACGCCGCGUGAGUGAAGAAGGGUUUCGGAUCGUAAAGCUCUGUUGUAAGAGAAGAACGAGUGUGAGAGUGGAAAGUUCACACUGUGACGGUAUCUUACCAGAAAGGGACGGCUAACUACGUG
rnacentral:rRNA from 1 species